GAUGAACGCUGGCGGCGUGCUUAACACAUGCAAGUCGAACGGAAAGGCCCAAGCUUGCUUGGGUACUCGAGUGGCGAACGGGUGAGUAACACGUGGGUGAUCUGCCCUGCACUUCGGGAUAAGCCUGGGAAACUGGGUCUAAUACCGGAUAGGACGAUGGUUUGGAUGCCAUUGUGGAAAGUUUUUUCGGUGUGGGAUGAGCUCGCGGCCUAUCAGCUUGUUGGUGGGGUAAUGGCCUACCGAGGCGUCGACGGGUAGCCGGCCGGAGAGGGGGUACGGCCACAUUGGGACUGAGAUACGGCCCAGACUCCUACGGGAGGCAGCAGUGGGGAAUAUUGCACAAUGGGCGCAAGCCUGAUGCAGCGACGCCGCGUGGGGGAUGACGGCCUUCGGGUUGUAAACUCCUUUCGCUAGGGACGAAGCGUUUUUGUGACGGUACCUGGAGAAGAAGCACCGGCUAACUACGUGCCAGCAGCCGCAGUAACAC
rnacentral:rRNA from 1 species